ACGGGAGGCAGCAGUGGGGAAUUUUGGACAAUGGGGGAAACCCUGAUCCAGCAAUGCCGCGUGUGUGAAGAAGGCCUUCGGGUUGUAAAGCACUUUUGUCCGGAAAGAAAACUUCUCCAUUAAUACCGGGGGAGGAUGACGGUACCGGAAGAAUAAGCACCGGCUAACUACGUGCCAGCAGCCGCGGUAAUACGUAGGGUGCGAGCGUUAAUCGGAAUUACUGGGCGUAAAGCGUGCGCAGGCGGUUCGUUAAGACAGAUGUGAAAUCCCCGGGCUUAACCUGGGAACUGCAUUUGUGACUGUCGAGCUAGAGUAUGGCAGAGGGGGGUAGAAUUCCACGUGUAGCAGUGAAAUGCGUAGAGAUGUGGAGGAAUACCGAUGGCGAAGGCAGCCCCCUGGGCCAAUACUGACGCUCAUGCACGAAAGCGUGGGGAGCAAACAGGAUUAGAUACCCUGGUAGUCCACGCCCUAAACGAUGUCAACUAGUUGUUGGGGAUUCAUUUCCUUAGUAACGUAGCUAACGCGUGAAGUUGACCGCCUGGGGAGUACGGUCGCAAGAUUAAAACUCAAAGGAAUUGACGGGGACCCGCACAAGCGGUGGAUGAUGUGGAUUAAUUCGAUGCAACGCGAAAAACCUUACCUACCCUUGACAUGGUCGGAACCCUGCUGAAAGGUGGGGGUGCUCGAAAGAGAACCGAUACACAGGUGCUGCA
rnacentral:rRNA from 1 species